GACGAACGCUGGCGGCGUGCCUAAUACAUGCAAGUUGAGCGAUGAAGAUUGGUGCUUGCACCAAUUUGAAGAGCAGCGAACGGGUGAGUAACGCGUGGGGAAUCUGCCUUUGAGCGGGGGACAACAUUUGGAAACGAAUGCUAAUACCGCAUAACAACUUUAAACAUAAGUUUUAAGUUUGAAAGAUGCAAUUACAUCACUCAAAGAUGAUCCCGCGUUGUAUUAGCUAGUUGGUGAGGUAAAGGCUCACCAAGGCGAUGAUACAUAGCCGACCUGAGAGGGUGAUCGGCCACAUUGGGACUGAGACACGGCCCAAACUCCUACGGGAGGCAGCAGUAGGGAAUCUUCGGCAAUGGACGAAAGUCUGGCCGAGCAACGCCGCGUGAGUGAAGAAGGUUUUCGGAUCGUAAAACUCUGUUGGUAGAGAAGAACGUUGGUGAGAGUGGAAAGCUCAUCAAGUGACGGUAACUACCCAGAAAGGGACGGCUAACUACGUG
rnacentral:rRNA from 1 species